rnacentral:rRNA from 1 species
AUGACGCCAACCGGAGCCACUGCCGCUCUCGUGCUAGCAGUACUCACCCUAGCACACCAUGCCUCACUCGCCGCCGCCACCAGCCCCAGGGUCAUCAUCGUCGGCGCCGGCAUGUCAGGGAUCUCGGCGGGGAAGCGGCUGUUGGAGGCCGGGAUAACGGACCUGGUGAUCCUGGAGGCGACGGACCACGUCGGCGGGAGGAUGCACAAGCGGGACUUUGGCGGCAUCAGAGUGGAGAUGGGUGCCAACUGGGUGGAGGGCGUCAACGGCGGCGAGAUGAACCCUAUCUGGCCCAUCGUCAACUCCACGGUCAAGCUCACCAACUUCCGCUCCGACUUCGACCACCUCGCCAGCAACGUCUACAAGGAGAAAGGUGGUGUCUACAAAAAGUACGUGCAGAAGAGAAUUGACCUGUCGGACAAGGUGGAAGAGGGCGGCGAGAAACACUCUGCCAAGCUGCAUCUCAGCGGCCAGGAUGACAUGUCAAUCCUCGCCAUGCAACGCCUCAAUGACCACCUUCCCAACGGGCCGUCGGCGGCAGUGGACAUGAUCCUGGACUACUUCAAGUACGACUACGAGUUCGCCGAACCGCCGCGCGUAACCAGCCUGCAAAAUACCAUCCCUCUCGCCACCUUCAGCGACUUCGGCGACGAUGUGUACUUCGUCGCCGACCAGCGCGGCUAUGAGGCCGUCGUGUAG